AAUGUCAGAGUUUAUUUCAUCUUUAAUUAAAUGGAAAGACAAAUAAGACAGUGGUCAGUAGGUAGAUUUUUUGGAUUUCAAAAGAAAGCUGAGGAAACUUGGAACUUUUUACCUGAAGAAGCAAAUGUUUUAUGCAAGAGUUUAUAUUGAAUUUACGUGGAAAAGAGCUCCAGGUAUAUGACAGACCACCUCAGAAAUAAUAUUAAGAAAAGCAGAUUGCCCACAAAGAAUGGAUUAAUGGAUUAGUUAGAAAAGAAGCAUACGUCAGAAAGUAUGACAGUAGCUGAGAAUUUCCUAAUCCAUCUCUUUUUUUAAAUCAUGUGUUGUCAGCUUCCCAAAGACCUAGUGACCAAAAUCCGACACAAUUUUCUUAAAAUAUUGACAAAUGAAAUACUAUUUAUUUUUAUAUGUGGUCAUCAGCCUUUCAAAAUCUUUAAUCCUUAUUAAUUUUUUUCUUUUUCUGGUUGGUCUUAAUUUUCAGUUUUAUCAACACAGUAUUUCAGAAAAAAUUUUCUGUUUUUUUUUUUCUAGUCUCAUAACUGUUGCAUUCCUGUUUAUUUCUCCUAUGAGGCACAUAGCUAAGAAACUAAGUGUCUCUCCAGGAGCUCCAGAAACAGAUACUGUAAGAUUAAGUUAUACAACAUCAUCAAGAAACUCCUGGUUGAACUGUGUAUUCUGUGGUGGGACAUUUGACUCACUGACAUGAGGAUAAUUUUUAUGAAGGCAAUGUAACAUCACUAAAAGAAAGGAAAAUAACAACAGAACUGCUUACAUGGUUUUGGAAAACGAAGCCAGUUGCUAAGGACACACUAGUUUGUGAUCUAACAAUCACAAAAUCAGGGUAUAAUUGCUAGAGAUUCAAUCUUGAUGUGAAAUAAUACAGAUAUGAGCGAAGCUAUCCAUAAAAUCAAGUGAAGAUAUCAGCACCUUACUCCUAGUGAUCAAAGAAAGAAAUAUAGCAAUACUUACUUGUAUUGGAUGUCAUUAACACAGACCUUAUAAAGUGGAUAUUCCUUCACAAAUAAAUAAAUUCAAUAAGCAGU
ensembl:lncRNA